rnacentral:rRNA from 1 species
GUUGGCUUAGAAGCAGCCACACAUUUAAAGAGUGCGUAAUAGCUCACUGGUCGAGUGAUGUUGCGCCGAAAAUGUAACGGGGCUAAAACACACCACCGAAGCUGCGGGAUACGAAAGUAUCGGUAGGGGAGCGUUCUGUAGUAGGGAGAAAUGUAACCGAAAGGAAGCAUGGACGAGGCAGAAGAGAGAAUGUUGGAAUAAGUAGCGAGAGAUGAGUGAGAAUCUCAUCGGCCGGAAGUCUAAGGUUUCCUAAGGAAGGUUCGUCCGCUUAGGGUAAGUCGGGGACUAAGGUGAGGCCAAAAGGCGUAAUCGAUGUAAAACUGGUAUUAAGUCCAGUACCACCCGUAUCCGUUAUAGGAAGCAGGGACACAGAAGGAUAGUGUAACCGAGGAGAUGGUUCUCGGCCAAAUACAAAGCCAUGUUAUUGAGUGAAGUACCAAUAACUAAGGUGAAGUAUGAUGGGGAGUGAAUAAAAGUAGCGAAGUACAUGAAUCCACACUGUCGAGAAAAGCUGCUAACGAGGAAAAGGGUGCCCGUACCGCAAACCGACACAGGUAGACGAGGAGAGAAUCCACAGGCCAACGGGAGAAGUGUUGUUAAGGAACUCGGCAAAUUAAACCCGUAACUUCGGGAGAAGGGUUGCCUCAGCGAUGAGGUCGCAGAGAAAUGGCCCAGGCAACUGUUUAACAAAAACACAGGUUUCUGCGAAGUCGAAAGACGAAGUAUAGGAGCUGACGCCUGCCCGGUGCUGGAAGGUUAAGAGGAUCUGUUAGCGUAAGCGAGGCAGAGAAUCUAAGCCCCAGUGAACGGCGGCCGUAACUAUAACGGUCCUAAGGUAGCGAAAUUCCUUGUCAGGUAAGUUCUGACCCGCACGAAUGGCGUAAUGAUCUGGGCACUGUCUCAACAACACACCCGGCGAAAUUGUAGUACCGGUGAAGAUGCCGGUUACCCGCGACUGGACGGAAAGACCCCAUGGAGCUUUACUGUAGCUUGAUACUGAGAUUCGUUGUAGUUUGUACAGGAUAGGUGGGAGACUGGGAAUUACCUUCGCUAGGAGGUAAGGAGUCGCCGGUGGGAUACCACUCUAAUUACAAUGAAUUUCUAACCGGAAUCUGUGAAUCCAGAUACGGGACAAUGUCAGGUGGGCAGUUUGACUGGGGCGGUCGCCUCCGAAAGAGUAACGGAGGCGCUCAAAGGUUGCCUCAGAAUGGAUGGAAACCAUUCGAAGAGUGUAAAGGUAGAAGGCAGCUUGACUGCGAGAGUGACGGCUCGAGCAGGUACGAAAGUAGGACUUAGUGAUCCGGUGGUAGAAAGUGGAAUUGCCAUCGCUCAACGGAUAAAAGCUACCCUGGGGAUAACAGGCUAAUCUCUCCCAA